rnacentral:rRNA from 1 species
AAGUCAGAUGUGAAAUCCCCGAGCUUUAACUGGGGAAUUGCAUUCGAUANUGGUUAGCUAGAGUGUGGGAGAGGAUGGUAGAAUUCCAGGUGUAGCGGUGAAAUGCGUAGAGAUCUGGAGGAAUACCGAUGGNGAAGGCAGCCAUUUGGCCUAACACUGACGNUGAGGUGCGAAAGCAUGGGGAGCAAACAGGAUUAGAUACCCUGGUAGUCCAUGCCGUAAACGAUGUCUACUAGCCGUUGGGGCCUUUGAGGCUUUAGUGGCGCAGCUAACGCGAUAAGUAGACCGCCUGGGGAGUACGGUCGCAAGACUAAAACUCAAAUGAAUUGACGGGGGCCCGCACAAGCGGUGGAGCAUGUGGUUUAAUUCGAUGCAACGCGAAGAACCUUACCUGGCCUUGACAUAGUAAGAACUUUCCAGAGAUGGAUUGGUGCCUUCGGGAACUUACAUACAGGUGCUGCAUGGCUGUCGUCAGCUCGUGUCGUGAGAUGUUGGGUUAAGUCCCGCAACGAGCGCAACCCUUUUCCUUAUUUGCCAGCGAGUAAUGUCGGGAACUUUAAGGAUACUGCCAGUGACAAACUGGAGGAAGGCGGGGACGACGUCAAGUCAUCAUGGCCCUUACGGCCAGGGCUACACACGUGCUACAAUGGUCGGUACAAAGGGUUGCUACCUAGCGAUAGGAUGCUAAUCUCAAAAAGCCGAUCGUAGUCCGGAUGGAGUCUGCAACUCGACUCCAUAAGUCGAAUC